AACGGUCUAUACCUGCGGUACCUGCGGAAGGAUCAUUACCGAGUUAUCCAACUCCCAACCCCUGUGAAUCAUACCUUUAACUGUUGCUUCGGCGGGACUUCGCGCCCGCCGGGGACCCAAACCUUCUGAAUUUUUUAAUAAGUAUCUUCUGAGUGGUUAAAAAAAUGAAUCAAAACUUUUAACAACGGAUCUCU
rnacentral:misc_RNA from 1 species